CGCAGAGAUAAAUUAUUUCAGACUCUCCUCCUUCACGCUGAUCUCCUUCCCUCCUCACCAUGUAAACUGCUAUCCACAGACAAUCCUAAUAUGGGCUCCCGAGUGGCGCAGCGGUCUAAGGCACUGCAUCUCAGUACAAGAGGUGUCACUACAGACCCUGGUUCGGAUCCAGGCUGUAUCACAUCCGGCCACGAUUGGGAGUCCCACAGGGCAGCGCACAAUUGGCCCAGCAUCGUCCGAGUUUUGCCGGGGUCCCUGGUUCCUAUAGCUGAUUUCAUGAAUGAACUAUCACCAAAACGCCAUGAGGAAUUUGAUCACAAGCUGCAUGACUUGAAGUGGACAUGGAAGGAACGACUGGGACCACAGUAAAAUGAAUUGUUGUUGUUGAGACAUCUCAGGAGUCAGACACUUUCAUUUUAUUCCAUCGACACUUCUGUUGUUUACACAUCUGUUCAUACCAGACACUAUUGUUAAAAAAUAUUUGUAUCUGCAUUCUUGACACUUUAAUUAUAUUUAAUUGGCAGGUGUUGUUUAGAUAUCUGUACAUCUCUGUCUCUUCUUCUCAAUGCAAGGUGUUUCAUUCUACUUGAACAUCAUGUGCUGACUACGUACAGAAGGGGCUGUGUGUCAAAGACCCUACAGGCUUUCUUCUACUUAUGUGGUUUAGUUCAAUCUAAUCUAAAUUACUGCACACAGACAUCAUAGAAUCAAAUUCUAUUUUAUUAACAAGAUUAAAAUGACAUUUUAGUACAAAGUACUUUGGUUCACAGUGCGCAUCAAGGGUUGUGUUUGAGUAGUCCAAACAAAGGCCUGUUGUGCAUGAUCGGCUGGCCUUGGGUUGUUGUCCUUUACUGACCAUGAGCUUCCUCCAUGGCGGACCGGUAGUUGUGGUGGGCCACAUGCCUUCCAUGGAGGACAGGUAGUUGUGGUGGGCCACAUGCCUUUCAUGGAGGACAGGUAGUUGUGGUGGGCCACAUGCCUUCCAUGGAGGACAGGUAGUUGUGGUGGGCCACAUGCCUUCCAUGGAGGACAGGUAGUUGUGGAAGGCCACAUCCUUCUGUGGGGGGGAGACUACUGUAAAGGGAGAGUAGUAAAGGUCACGUGCACUACUUUUGUGAGAAGAAACAAUUUGAAAAAAAAAAAAAUCUAAUUUAAAAAGGAUUUAAAUAGAAAUGUAUUAUUCUGAUUUAUCAGGGGAUGCUGCAGCACGCUCAGCACCACUACUGUACUUCUCGCUGUUAUGGGUACACUUGAUUGGCCGAACAAGAAUCCUCAUCCUCCUUGCCGCCCAUGAUGCCAAAAUGCAUUCUCUAUGACUCUCCGUCGAGAGUGGUGGUAGUUGUAGCUACGCCUAGAUUCAUUGAGAUGGACACCUAUGAAUGAGAGGUUACAAGAGAAUAUUUCUCAGAUAGAAAUAUAGCCUAUUUGGUCAACAACAAAAAUCAACAUAACGUUUUCCCAUAUUCCAAAAGCCUUGAUAAAAAUGUAAUUUAUCAUAUAGAAGUGCACACAUGUAUGCAGCAAUAAAGUAAAUUAGAAAAAGAAG
rnacentral:lncRNA from 1 species